AGUGAACGCUGGCGGUAGGCCUAACACAUGCCAGUCGAACGGCAGCACAGUAAGAGCUUGCUCUUACGGGUGGCGAGUGGCGGACGGGUGAGGAAUACAUCGGAAUCUACUUUUUCGUGGGGGAUAACGUAGGGAAACUUACGCUAAUACCGCAUACGACCUACGGGUGAAAGCAGGGGAUCUUCGGACCUUGCGCGAUUGAAUGAGCCGAUGUCGGAUUAGCUAGUUGGCGGGGUAAAGGCCCACCAAGGCGACGAUCCGUAGCUGGUCUGAGAGGAUGUUCAGCCACACUGGAACUGAGACACGGUCCAGACUCCUACGGGAGGCAGCAGUGGGGAAUAUUGGACAAUGGGCGCAAGCCUGAUCCAGCCAUACCGCGUGGGUGAAGAAGGCCUUCGGGUUGUAAAGCCCUUUUGUUGGGAAAGAAAAGCAGCAGGUUAAUACCCCGCUGUUCUGACGGUACCCAAAGAAUAAGCACCGGCUAACUUCGUG
rnacentral:rRNA from 1 species